rnacentral:rRNA from 1 species
UGAGGAAUAUUGGUCAAUGGGGGCAACCCUGAACCAGCCAAGUCGCGUGAAGGAUGAAGGUCUUAUGGAUUGUAAACUUCUUUUAUACAGGAAUAAAUUGGGGGACGCGUCCCCUUUUGCAUGUACUGUAUGAAUAAGGAUCGGCUAACUCCGUGCCAGCAGCCGCGGUAAUACGGAGGAUCCGAGCGUUAUCCGGAUUUAUUGGGUUUAAAGGGUGCGCAGGCGGGAUGUUAAGUCGGCGGUGAAAUUUUGCAGCUCAACUGUAAAAGUGCCUUCGAUACUGGCUUCCUUGAGUGUAGAUGAAGUAGGCGGAAUUUGUGGUGUAGCGGUGAAAUGCUUAGAUAUCACGAGGAACUCCGAUUGCGCAGGCAGCUUACUAAACUACAACUGACGCUCAUGCACGAAGGCGUGGGGAUCAAACA